AGCUCCAAUAGCGUAUAUUAAAGUUGUUGCAGUUAAAAAGCUCGUAGUUGGAUCUCGGGUGCAGGCUGGCGGUCUCACUCUCGUGGGUACUGCCCGUCCUCGCCUCAUUGGUCGGUCUCCUCUUGGUGCCCUUAGCUGGGUGUCUCGAGUGGCCGGAACGUUUACUUUGAAAAAAUUAGAGUGUUCAAAGCAGGCCGCCGCGCCUGAAUAAUGUUGCAUGGAAUAAUGGAAUAGGACCUCGGUUCUAUUUUGUUGGUUUCUGGAAGUCGAGGUAAUGAUUAAGAGGGACAGACGGGGGCAUUCGUAUUACGGUGUUAGAGGUGAAAUUCUUGGAUCGCCGUAAGACGAACUACUGCGAAAGCAUUUGCCAAGAAUGUUUUCAUUAAUCAAGAACGAAAGU
rnacentral:rRNA from 1 species